UAUUCUUGCAAUUUUUCCUUCUCAAUGCAACCUUUUACUGUUCCUCUUUCUCGAUGCAGCCUUUCUCGAUGCAGUGUUUCUUUUCCUUCAAAUUUUUUCUUCUCGAUGCAACCUUCCAAUGAAUCUCAUCAUGAGCAGCCUUCGGAUUUAGGGUUUAUAAAUAGGAAACAAAACUGAAAGAGGGGACAUUAAUGCAGAACAAUUUUUGAUGGGUUUCAUGUGUUUUUUGUGGUUGUGGUCAAGUGUUGUCAGGAGGAUUUUAUGUUGAAGGCUAUGAGUUUGUGACAAUGCCAUCUACGGAGAAUCAGAGCUCUUCUACUUCUUCAUCGUUUUACUCCUUUGGCCCGUUAUUCUGUAUUAGGCAUGAACAGGUUCAUUCUGUGGAAGCAAAUCAUGAAUCAAAUUCAUGUAAUUUGGAGAUAAGUAUUAAUUUACUUAAUGUGUUAGUCUAUAUCAAUAUUCCUUUUGUUCUUUUUGUUUAAUAUUUUUUCAUUUAACAUUAAAAGUUGUAAGGGAGGUUUUGUUCUCUUAACUUUUGUUGUUGUUGUUUUAUUCUAACAUUUAAAAAAUGAAAAUGGUAGAGUAUUGUAUCUGUUUGCUCAUCAUUCACAUACUGGGGCGUUUGCUGUCUCUGCUGUCUCUGUUGUCAGUGGUUAUGGAUUUAGGACAAAAAACUGUUGGCCAGAUUUUCUUCUGGUGACUUUGUUAUUUCCAAUUAUCCAAUCACAGAUUCUAGAAAACAAAGUCGAGUGAAUGUCACCAAGCUUUCUACCUUGUGAGAUUCUAGAAAACAAAGUCGAGUGAAUGUCACCAAGCUUUCUACCUUGUGAGAUUCUAGAAAACGAGUCAAAUAUCUCGAGGAUUCAAUGGGAUAUGUGAUAUGGAAAUGAAAAUCCAGGAUCGAAUUUCUUGCUUAAGGUAUUUUCUGGUAUUCAAGCAAUGGUGUAACAAUACUAUUGGUAUUAUAUCUCAUACGGGCUUGCUAGAGUUGCUCUGAAAAGACUUCGGUCAUGUUCUUUCUGCAAACAGUAUCGGAGACUACCUCCUUCAUGCAAUACAAAACCUUUUUAAAGACUUGGAAGCACUGGAUCGAAUGCAUAAAGAAGACCUUGACAUUAUUAUGAAGGAAAGAUCAGGGAAAAGUUAUAGUAGUAUGACUAAGGUGAACUCUCAUGUUAGGCUGGCAUCAUCAGUGAGCACCUUCUCUGGUGAUCUCUCAUGUUAGGCUGGCAUCAUCAGUGAGCACCUUCUCUGGUGAUGGUGGUUUUCUUGGAAAGUGACAUAAGAAAAGUCUAAUUCUCCUAAACUGUACAUUGUUUUACUAACAUAGUAUGAUUCAAGGGGUAGACUUUUCACUAAGGUUUUAAUCCUGGUGCACUCUCUCCAAUAUUGUCUAUGUUGUGGAGUAGUCUAUUUCAAUAAAUCAAAACAUGACCAAUGAGCAUUCAUUUCGCUAGAGUUGUUGUUUCAAGUUUGUUUGGAUUUGUUGAAUAUUGUUUAAGGUAGUUUCAAAUAGAGUAAUGUAAUUUUCUUUUUCAUGACAAA